AAUUGGAGGGCAAGUCUGGUGCCAGCAGCCGCGGUAAUUCCAGCUCCAAUAGCGUAUAUUAAAGUUGUUGCAGUUAAAAAGCUCGUAGUUGAAUUUCGGGAUCAAUAUUUCGGUCAUGCCGUUGGUAUGCACUGUUAUCAUUGAUUUCUCACCUUCUAAAGAACCGUAAUGCCAUUAAUUUGGUGUUACGGGGAAUUAGGACUGUUACCUUGAAAAAAUUAGAGUGUUUAAAGCAGGCUCACGCUUGAAUACAUUAGCAUGGAAUAAUGAAAUAGGACAUCCGAUUCUAUUUUGUUGGUUUCUAGGAUCGAUGUAGUGAUUAAUAGGGAUAGUUGGGGGCAUUAGUAUUCAAUUGUCAGAGGUGAAAUUCUUGGAUUUAUUGAAGACUAACUACUGCGAAAGCAUUUGCCAAGGAUGUUUUCAUUAAUCAAGAACGAAAGUUAGGGGAUCGAAGACGAUCAGAUACCGUCGUAGUCUUAACCAUAAACUAUGCCGACUAGGGAUCGGAUGAUGUUAAUUUUUUAAUGACUCAUUCGGCGCCUUACGGGAAACCAAAGUGU
rnacentral:rRNA from 1 species